CAAGCAUCAUCGCGCGGACCAAUCCGAUGGAAGUCCAUGGUCGCUUAGGGCAGAGCACCUGAAGGAGGAGCCAUUGUUACCCUGCAGGAAAAGCGGCAGCCCGAUUUGUGCACAGCAAGAUCCCGCAAACAACACUGACACAAAUGAGCAGAUUCGUCUGUCCUUUCAGUCACGUUGGCUGACGGGCAAAAUGUUGGCCAGGGCAGGAGCUUUAGAAAUGGCGCCAUGGUAACUCGUACCUCAGCCUCAGAGCACGGGGUGGGGGGCGGUGGUGCUUGGCUUUAUUGCCCCUCCCGAAAGACGUCACGUGUGAUGGUGCCGCUUUCCCUCAGAACUGGCAUCCCAUGACGCUUGUUCAACUCCGGAGUGGGACUGGAAACACACAACCUUUCGAGUCAGCAGUGAGAGCGCUCCUCACUGAGCCAUGACUGGCACCGCUGGAACGUUACAGGGUUCCUCUCUGAUCCCAAGAAGAUGUCCUUGGCCCUGGCACCGGGCAGGCAACACAGCUUUUGGGACUGACGCUCCUAGCUGCAGAGAACCCCCUGACUAUAUAGACCCUGCUACAACUACGUUCCUAUUUACUCCCCCCACUUACUCCUCCCACCUGUACCACGGUGCUGUGGUCAGUUUGUUCAUCCAUCCUGUAGUCCCUUGCUCUCUGCAAGAACCUUGAACCUGUUGGACAAUUGCAAGGGUUGAGGCUCCUCCAUUGCUUGCCUUCUGGAUCCCUAUACCUGCAUACCUUACAGUCACACUCUCCGGUCCCUGACCACGGACCAACUCAGAAGUACCCAGCCCAAAGGAUGUCUGCCUCCUGGCACAAAGUGCCCAGGUAACUUUCCCCCUCUCUAUAUACAUCUCAGUGUCCAAAGCUAAGACCCCAGCUUAUCAACUCGGAGUUCAAGUUCAUUGAGCUGCAGACACUUCCUGCAAAUGUAAUUGCCGUGGAUCACAUUGGUGCCCACCAGUGCCCACAUGCUACAGCUGCAACACCUCACCUGCCCUGGCAUCUUUAUGGGGUUCUCUUUAACUAAUUAGGUUUCAAGUUUAGAAAUAUUACUCAACUGUUAUCUGCAGUUGGAGUUCUUGUGGUGCAAUAGGUAUUAUCUCUGCUUCUGAGCCGGGAGCUCUGGGUUCGAGUCCUACUCCGGGACUUCACAGCCAUGGAAAAUGUGUCCAUAACGUGGCCAAACACCAAUAUGGCAGAUGGUGAGAGUUGGGGGAGCCUCCUGGUCAGCCAUGCAUGAUAUGGGGUGGUGCUCCUCGGGCUGUAGUCUCUGCUGACAGGCUGGUGAGUACUUCCAGGAUAAAACUAGCUAUAAGCCUGUAUGCUUUGUCUGACUUAUAUGUGUCACUGAGACACAGGAAGAAAAGAAGUCAUAGGUAGUUAUACCAAGUAGCUUAAUCAGUUAAGCUAUAAAUUUAAUGCCAGACAUAGAUCUCCCUCAUACCAAUUUAAACUACUGCCUAUCUUUAGAGGGGUAAAAUCUUAAAAACUCACCAAUCACCUACCUACUCACCUAACAAAAAUUUUGAACAUUCACCAGCUUCUGGAGCCUGAAAAAGAUGUAAAAAUCAGCACCUCUUUCUCGCUCUGCACUGAAUCCCCACCUACUCCAAAUUCUCAAGUUUGCACUCUUACCCCAAAGCACUCGGGCUUCCUCACACUCUGCGCUCCCACACUCAUCUCGCGUAAGCACAGUACCCUGGCCAGCAUAAGCUUACAAUCAAUUUGUAUUAUCCGGGCCCUGUGUUUUGUAACAUCCCCUCUUAGAGUAAAGCAAUAGCUGAGAGAAUAAACCCCCAUAAAUAAUGUGAGGAAAACAGUCAGUAAUGCCUUUCCAUUUAGUGUUUGAGUUUAGUCUUAAAAAGUGAGUUAUGAACCCACAUUAUUGAACCUGUAAAUCAAAAUAACCAGAUUUACCGACUGUCCCCCAAAUAAAGAAAUUACCAGACAA